UUCGGGUUGUAAAGCACUUUCAGCAGUGAGGAAGGCGGGGUAUGGUUAAUAGCAUAUUCGUUUGACGUUUAGCUGCAGAAGAAGCACCGGCUAACUCCGUGCCAGCAGCCGCGGUAAUACGGAGGGUGCGAGCGUUAAUCGGAAUUACUGGGCGUAAAGCGCAUGCAGGUGGUUUGUUUAAGUUCAGAUGUGAAAGACCCGGGGCGUCAACCUCGGAAUAGCAUUUGAAACUGGCAGACUAGAGUACUGUAGAGGGGGGUAGGAAUUUCAGGUGUAGCGGUGAAAUGCGUAGAGAUCUGAAGGAAUACCGGUGGCGAAGGCGGCCCCCUCGGACAGAUACUGACACUCAGAUGCGAAAGCGUGGGGAGCAAACAGGAUUAGAUACCCCUGGUAG
rnacentral:rRNA from 1 species